rnacentral:ncRNA from 2 species
UUUAUAGUAGGGAAUGAAGUUCUCCCUGGAAUGAUGUUCCAAACCGCUGAUGAGCUAAUGACUUCUAUGCAUAU